ACUCAAAUGAAUUGACGGGGACCCACACAAGCGGUGGAGCAUGGGGUUUAAUUCGAUGAUAAGCGAAGAACCUCACCCAGACUUGACAUCUAAGGAAUCCGGCCGAAAGGUUGGAGUGCCGCAAGGAACCUUAAGACAGGCGAUGCACGGUCGUCGUCAGCUCGUGCCUUGAGGUGUACUGUUAAGUCAGCCAACGAGCGCAACCCUCAUCCUAUGUUGUUUUUUCAUGGGAGACUGCCGCCUCCAAGGCGGAGGAAGGUGGGGAUGACGUCAGAUCAGCGUGUCCUUUAUGUCUGGGGCUACACCCAUGCUACAAUGGCCGAUACAAUGGGCAGCAAACCCGCGAGGGGGAGCAAAUCCCACCAAAGUCGGCCUCAGUUCGGAUUGAAGUCUGCAACCCGACUUCAUGAAGUUGGAAUCGCUAGUAACCGUGGAUCAGCCAUGCCACGGUGAAUAAGUUCCUGGGUCUUGUACACACCGCCCGU
rnacentral:rRNA from 1 species